CUGCUGUGCGCAGGAAUCAAGAGAACCCCGGAGUCUUGUACCCCUCCGGAGCCCAGCCCCCAAGUUCCAGUGCAGCGCUGAGCUCCAGGGCCGGGGGAGCAGGCUGACGACGUCUAGUGGAGGAGGAGGCAAGCCUUUAGAAGACAUCAAGGAGAAAGUCUCCGUGUGGUGCUAGAAUGUCCAUAACGCCUAUUUUUCACCUGCUCAUCUCUUAACAGGAAUCAGGACUCUAUCCACAUUGCCAGCCACAAGCGUCCCUCACUGUCUGCCGUUGACGCUGGCUGCUGGCAUAAACCUUGGCUGGAACUGUCGGCCAGGCACCCCCACACGGUCUGGGCUUCCUCACAGCAUGGCCGCCUUGCACGGUUUCCAUGGCAGCUCAGGA